rnacentral:rRNA from 1 species
AUUCCAGCUCCAAUAGCGUAUAUUAAAGUUGUUGCCGUUAAAAAGCUCGUAGUCGAACUUCGGUCCCUGUUGGUCGGUCCGCCUUCUUGGUGUGUACUUACUCAACGGGGACUUACCUCCUGGUGAACUGCGAUGUCCUUUACUGGGUGUCGUAGCGAACUAGGACGUUUACUUUGAAAAAAUUAGAGUGUUCAAAGCAGGCCUACGCCCGAAUACAUUAGCAUGGAAUAAUAGAAUAGGACGCGCGUUCCCAUUUUGUUGGUUUCUGAGAUCGCCGUAAUGAUUAAUAGGGAUAGUUGGGGGCAUUUGUAUUCCGUCGUCAGAGGUGAAAUUCUUGGAUUGCCGGAAGACAAACUAUUGCGAAAGCAUUUGCCAAGGAUGUUUUCAUUG